GGUUAAGCGACUAAGCGUACACGGUGGAUGCCCUGGCAGUCAGAGGCGAUGAAGGACGUGCUAAUCUGCGAUAAGCGCCGGUAAGGUGAUAUGAACCGUUAUAACCGGCGAUUUCCGAAUGGGGAAACCCAGUGUGAUUCGUCACACUAUCAUUAACUGAAUCCAUAGGUUAAUGAGGCGAACCGGGGGAACUGAAACAUCUAAGUACCCCGAGGAAAAGAAAUCAACCGAGAUUCCCCCAGUAGCGGCGAGCGAACGGGGAGGAGCCCAGAGCCUGAAUCAGCAUGUGUGUUAGUGGAAGCGUCUGGAAAGGCGCGCGAUACAGGGUGACAGCCCCGUACACAAAAGCGCAUGUGCUGUGAGCUCGAUGAGUAGGGCGGGACACGUGGUAUCCUGUCUGAAUAUGGGGGGACCAUCCUCCAAGGCUAAAUACUCCUGACUGACCGAUAGUGAACCAGUACCGUGAGGGAAAGGCGAAAAGAACCCCGGCGAGGGGAGUGAAAAAGAACCUGAAACCGUGUACGUACAAGCAGUGGGAGCACCCUUUGGGGUGUGACUGCGUACCUUUUGUAUAAUGGGUCAGCGACUUAUAUUCUGUAGCAAGGUUAACCGUAUAGGGGAGCCGCAGGGAAACCGAGUCUUAACCGGGCGUUAAGUUGCAGGGUAUAGACCCGAAACCCGGUGAUCUAGCCAUGGGCAGGUUGAAGGUUGGGUAACACUAACUGGAGGACCGAACCGACUAAUGUUGAAAAAUUAGCGGAUGACCUGUGGCUGGGGGUGAAAGGCCAAUCAAACCGGGAGAUAGCUGGUUCUCCCCGAAAGCUAUUUAGGUAGCGCCUCGUGAAUUCAUCUCCGGGGGUAGAGCACUGUUUCGGCUAGGGGGCCAUCCCGGCUUACCAACCCGAUGCAAACUGCGAAUACCGGAGAAUGUUAUCACGGGAGACACACGGCGGGUGCUAACGUCCGUCGUGAAGAGGGAAACAACCCAGACCGCCAGCUAAGGUCCCAAAGUCAUGGUUAAGUGGGAAACGAUGUGGGAAGGCCCAGACAGCCAGGAUGUUGGCUUAGAAGCAGCCAUCAUUUAAAGAAAGCGUAAUAGCUCACUGGUCGAGUCGGCCUGCGCGGAAGAUGUAACGGGGCUAAACCAUGCACCGAAGCUGCGGCAGCGACGCUGAUGCGUUGUUGGGUAGGGGAGCGUUCUGUAAGCCUGUGAAGGUGUGUCGUGAGGCAUGCUGGAGGUAUCAGAAGUGCGAAUGCUGACAUAAGUAACGAUAAAGCGGGUGAAAAGCCCGCUCGCCGGAAGACCAAGGGUUCCUGUCCAACGUUAAUCGGGGCAGGGUGAGUCGACCCCUAAGGCGAGGCCGAAAGGCGUAGUCGAUGGGAAACGGGUUAAUAUUCCCGUACUUGGUGUUACUGCGAAGGGGGGACGGAGAAGGCUAUGUUGGCCGGGCGACGGUUGUCCCGGUUUAAGCGUGUAGGUGUGUGUUCCAGGUAAAUCCGGUUCACUUUAACACUGAGGCGUGAUGACGAGGCACUACGGUGCUGAAGCAACAAAUGCCCUGCUUCCAGGAAAAGCCUCUAAGCAUCAGGUAACAUCAAAUCGUACCCCAAACCGACACAGGUGGUCAGGUAGAGAAUACCAAGGCGCUUGAGAGAACUCGGGUGAAGGAACUAGGCAAAAUGGUGCCGUAACUUCGGGAGAAGGCACGCUGACACGUAGGUGAAGUGAUUUACUCAUGGAGCUGAAGUCAGUCGAAGAUACCAGCUGGCUGCAACUGUUUAUUAAAAACACAGCACUGUGCAAACACGAAAGUGGACGUAUACGGUGUGACGCCUGCCCGGUGCCGGAAGGUUAAUUGAUGGGGUCAGCGCAAGCGAAGCUCCUGAUCGAAGCCCCGGUAAACGGCGGCCGUAACUAUAACGGUCCUAAGGUAGCGAAAUUCCUUGUCGGGUAAGUUCCGACCUGCACGAAUGGCGUAAUGAUGGCCAGGCUGUCUCCACCCGAGACUCAGUGAAAUUGAACUCGCUGUGAAGAUGCAGUGUACCCGCGGCAAGACGGAAAGACCCCGUGAACCUUUACUAUAGCUUGACACUGAACAUUGAGCCUUGAUGUGUAGGAUAGGUGGGAGGCUUUGAAGUGUGGACGCCAGUCUGCAUGGAGCCGACCUUGAAAUACCACCCUUUAAUGUUUGAUGUUCUAACGUGGACCCGUAAUCCGGGUUGCGGACAGUGUCUGGUGGGUAGUUUGACUGGGGCGGUCUCCUCCUAAAGAGUAACGGAGGAGCACGAAGGUUGGCUAAUCCUGGUCGGACAUCAGGAGGUUAGUGCAAUGGCAUAAGCCAGCUUGACUGCGAGCGUGACGGCGCGAGCAGGUGCGAAAGCAGGUCAUAGUGAUCCGGUGGUUCUGAAUGGAAGGGCCAUCGCUCAACGGAUAAAAGGUACUCCGGGGAUAACAGGCUGAUACCGCCCAAGAGUUCAUAUCGACGGCGGUGUUUGGCACCUCGAUGUCGGCUCAUCACAUCCUGGGGCUGAAGUAGGUCCCAAGGGUAUGGCUGUUCGCCAUUUAAAGUGGUACGCGAGCUGGGUUUAGAACGUCGUGAGACAGUUCGGUCCCUAUCUGCCGUGGGCGCUGGAGAACUGAGGGGGGCUGCUCCUAGUACGAGAGGACCGGAGUGGACGCAUCACUGGUGUUCGGGUUGUCAUGCCAAUGGCACUGCCCGGUAGCUAAAUGCGGAAGAGAUAAGUGCUGAAAGCAUCUAAGCACGAAACUUGCCCCGAGAUGAGUUCUCCCUGAGACUUAGAGUCUCCUGAAGGAACGUUGAAGACGACGACGUUGAUAGGCCGGGUGUGUAAGCGCAGCGAUGCGUUGAGCUAACCGGUACUAAUGAACCGUGAGGCUUAACCUU
rnacentral:rRNA from 1 species